CUAGCUGAAUGGAGUGGAAUGAUUAACUCAAGCUUUUUUUUUUUUUUUUUUUUUUUUUUGUCAGGGUGAAAAUGGAAUUCAGGGACCACCGGGGCCAAUGGGGCCCAAAGGACCGCCUGGACAUAAGGGAGAGUUCGGUUUUCCAGGUCGACCAGUAAGUAUCGGUAUUUCACAAAUUGAAGUCUGUGAAAAUUAUUGUGAAUGUAGAUAUAAUUAAAAGAAAAGUACCUGCUAAAACCCCAUUUUCUAAAUUUCAGGGAAGGCCUGGUCUAAAUGGACUAAAAGGUGCCAAAGGAGAACGUGGAGUAGUGCUAUUAGGCCCACCUGGUUUGCCUGGGCCUCCAGGGCCUCCUGGACCACCUGGAGCUGUGAUUAACAUCAAAGGAGUAAGUACUUCCCCUAGAUCACUCGGCUUCUCCAUUGACUUUUAUUAAAGCAGAACAUACAUUUUGUAUUUAAAUGUAUUUAUUGAAUUAUCUUUCCUCUCAAUCUCAAACAGACGGUUUUCCCAAUUUCUCCCAGACCUCACUGCAAAACACCAGUAAGUUGACCUGCCUCGUUUAACCACAGGCAUUGACCAUGCAUGAAUUCCAUCCCCCCUCA
ensembl:lncRNA